GUGAGCACAUGCACACUGCAGAAGUAAUUGGUCCUAAACGGUCUGCUGGAUGUAGCCUGGGAUGAUUGUGAACUCAUUGCAUGGCUAUCUGUUGCUCAAAGAUCCAAUGGAUGAAGGUCAAGGUGGGGACAAGCGUGUGCUCACUGUGUGGCCAAAAGGUCUUCACCACAGCCCUGUAUCCAAGCGGUGGCAAGACAGGAUUACUGCAUGGCUCACCAGUUCUUUCCAGACCUUUGUAUGCACUUUGGGGUGAGGGAAGGAUCUCUGCAUGUCUAACCACUCCUAAACCAUCCACUGGAUGCAGCCCGGGACCAGGAAAGCUCACUGCAUGGCUGACCUGUCCUCACAGGACCGCUGGAUGCCUAGUUGGCUGUCUCCUCAGAGCUCUAUCAUCACAAGCUUCAGGACAGUCUGCUGCAUGGAAGGAUGGUGGAGCAGCAAAGGGUGGUGCAGGCCCUUGGACACUACUUUGAAUUCUACUCCAACUGCCUCCUAUUCCCCUGGACCUGGACAUGAAGUCUCUGAGCCAGUGCUGCUCAGGUGAGUGGUCACUGGUUUAUGUGGCCCAAUGC
rnacentral:lncRNA from 1 species